UUUGUAAAUAUAUUAAAAAAACACACACACUAUGAAAUGUACCUCAAGGCCUCUACUGAGGCAGACUGCCAUUGACUGUGAUAAGGCUGUGCAGCUGAGGUGCAUGAAUUUCAUGUGUAUGCAACCUGAGAGGUAUUUCCAGGAAGCUAAGCUUCACACUAGGAAAUGUCUGUGUAGGUGUAUUUGUUUAUUUUAAAUGCUUAAGGAGUGAUCAGAGACUAUGGUGGGUAGGGGAAGCUGCUCUUCCAAAGAGAAAUUCGCUCUCAUUUUCUAAUGAAUUCUUCCUCCUCCCUCUGCUUCCCUGCAGUGGAAAUGUGGCGGAGACCAAAGCUGCGAUUCCAGUCCACACCAGAGCCCAGAAAGAUUCCCAGGACCUUGGAGACGCCUCCUGAGCACCAGGAACCUGUGGAAUGCAGGAAGGAUGGUCCUACAGGGACCACGAGGAACAGCAAUUGUCCGUAGUAAAAUACGAAUGACAAAGGCAGGAAGGCAAAAGAAGGCUCCCAGGUUGGCCCAGGUACAGGCCAGACAUCAGGCCCCAGGGGUCUGGAGCGGGCAGGAGGUGAAUGACAGGACAUGGCGUGAAGCAAUCAAUUUAUAUGGAGGACAUGAGUGAGAUCAGAAGAGGCUGCUGAACGCUGGACUUGAGCCAAGCAUGGGAUGCCCGGACCCGCUCUUGACUCACAGGAGCUGGACCUCGGGUCAUCCCAAGCCACUCCUGGCUUAUGGUGGGAGCGCACAUGUUCCAAAACCCAGGACAGUGAGGACUGUAUUUGGGGCAGAGUAAGAAGAAAUGGAUCAGGGCAACAUACAAAAGAUCUAAAGAAAAUAAGUAAAGGCUUAAUUCUUGUUUUGAACAUAAUUUGUCAAAGAGUUUGUGUUUUUGUGGUU